rnacentral:rRNA from 1 species
GACGAACGCUGGCGGCGUGCUUAACACAUGCAAGUCGAACGAUGAUGCCAGCUUGCUGGUGGAUUAGUGGCGAACGGGUGAGUAACACGUGAGCAACCUGCCCCUGACUUCGGGAUAACCGCGGGAAACCGUGGCUAAUACCGGUUCUGACGCGCUAUCGCAUGGUGGUGUGUGGAAAGCUUUAUCGGUUGGGGAUGGGCUCGCGGCCUAUCAGCUUGUUGGUGGGGUGAUGGCCUACCAAGGCGACGACGGGUAGCCGGCCUGAGAGGGUGACCGGCCACACUGCGACUGAGACACGGAGGAGACUCCGACGGGAGGCAGCAGAGGGGAAUAUUGCAGAAUGGGCGAAAGCCUGAUGCAGCGAAGCGGCGUGAGGGAUGACGGCGUUCGGGUUGUAAACCACUUGAAGUAGGGAAGAAGGGAUGCGGGUUGACGGUACCUUAAGAAGAAGCGCCGGCUAACUACGUG